UACGGAGGGUGCAAGCGUUAUCCGGAUUUAUUGGGUUUAAAGGGUACGUAGGCGGAAUAAUAAGUCAGUGGUGAAAUCCUGCGGCUCAACCGUAGAACUGCCAUUGAUACUGUUAUUCUUGAAUUUAGUUGAGGUAGGCGGAAUGUGUAAUGUAGCGGUGAAAUGCUUAGAUAUUACACAGAACACCGAUUGCGAAGGCAGCUUACUAAACUAUGAUUGACGCUGAGGUACGAAAGCGUGGGGAGCGAACAGG
rnacentral:rRNA from 1 species